rnacentral:rRNA from 1 species
GAUGAACGCUGGCGGCGUGCCUAAUACAUGCAAGUCGAGCGAACACAUGAGUAGCUUGCUCCUCUGACGUUAGCGGCGGACGUAUUAGUACCACGUGUAUCACCUACCUAUAAGACUUGGAUCACUUCGUGAACCCGUAGCUAAUACCGGCUAAUAUUUUGAACCGCAUGGUUCAAUAGUGAAAUACGCUUUUGCUGUCACUUAUAGCUGGUUCCGCGCCAGAUUAGCUAGUUGGUAAGGUACCGGCUUACCAAGGCAACGAUGCGUAGCCGACCUGAGAGGGUGAUCGGCCACACUGGAACUGAGACACGGACCAGACUCCUACGGGAGGCAGCAGUAGGGAAUCUUGCGCAAUGGGCGAAAGCCUGACGGAGCAACGCCGCGUGAGGGAUGAAGGUCUUCGGAUUGUAAAACGCUGUUGUUAGGGAAGAAAAAAUGUGUAAGAAAAUAUGCACGUCAUGACGGUACCUAAACAGAAAGCAACGGCUAACUACGUG